UAAAAUUACGAAAGUGUGGUCGUCUAACUGUUGUGGUCGCGUGUCUUUAUGCAAUAGCUAAAGACACAUUCCAUGCUGUUGAGCAGAUUUAAGGCUUGAAACAGCCACCAAAAAAUAUGCAAGUUUUGCUUGUGCUGGACCUGGCAUCAGCAACAAUCUUAGUGUCAUCGCUUGGAUAAACAGCAUCCAGUUUGAAAG